CAGGCAAGUUGGUGGUCAGGGCCACACCCACACCCUCCUGGUGCCUCUGCUGCCGCGCCGAUAUCUCCUGCAUGGUCAGGCAGUGCCAACUCCAGCUGUACGGGCAUGUGGCACGCUGCCCACCCUGCUCACCGGGCUGUUUCAGAGUGGAGGAGGCUGAGGGAAUGCCCACGAAGCUCACAGAUUCCGCGUCUCCAUGGACCCUGCCGCAAGAGACUUCCAGCGCUGGGCCCGGCCGCUGCAAGCCUUGUUGGGUCAGCAUGUGGGAAGUCACCGAGAUGGAGCUUGAGCCGGUCGGCCUCAACCAUGAGAGUGCGCAUGGAUCUGUAGCGGCAGCCUGGUGUAAUUAUGUACAUCGGUGAGUUUGUUAUAAUAUAGGUGAUGAUUUGGUAUAUGUGUAUGAUGUAGUAACCCACGACCCGAUGAAAUGUGGAGGAUGAGAUAGGCGUGUGUGUAAUAGAAGUCGGAAGAAAAAGAGAACGUGGUGAGUUAAAGGGCAGACUGAAGAAAUGAAGGUGAAGAAAACGGGAAGAUUUAGAGGGUCACUACAGAUCCAUUGUCAUGUUCCGUUGAUAACCUCUUGAUUGAUUCAUGUUUGGUUGACGUCUCACUAUGAUAUUGCAGUAAAUAUUUAGUUGUAUCAUUUUACAUCAUUGUGCAUGACAUGGAUAUCCACAAAGUGUUCCUAAUGUAUGAUGAUUGAAUGUUUUGACAAGAAUAUGAAAAUUCACUCUUAGUUAGUGAGCAAACUAAGAAACUGUGUAUUUGAGGUAUUUGUUUCCAUGUUAUUAUAUUUUUAUUCUGAUUAUUUCCUUAUUCUCGGGCUGUGUGAGCGACAGGCUGGCCGUGAGCCUUGCCAGGGAGUGCUGGGCGGCCUGGUGCCCCGGCUGAAGGCAAGCGGCCUCUCUGAGACACCCAAAGACUGGCUGACAGAAGGUCUUAUGGUGGUACUGGUGUCUGAAGGCUGUGCAGUGGUGCAGGCACAGGCUCAGAGUGCCCAGGUGGAGCAAGGCUCUGAUGCUGGUUGCCGCCUGUCUGGGAGCAGACUCACAGAGGCCGGCGCCCUCAGCAGUGACGAGGAGUCUCCCUGAAAGCUCUCCCUCAAGGCACAGCAGCAGGCCACCGUCGCCCUUGUCAUCGGGAGCACCGAGAGUAUCCCGAGGAACACUUCAAUGUCCAAGUGAGAAGCGGGGGCUUCGUGGUGCAGUGGUUAGCACGCUCGGCUCACAACCGAGAGAGCCCAGGUUCGAUUCCCAGGCGGAGUGGAAAAAUUUGGGCGGCUUUUCCGAUACCCGACGCCCCUGUCCACCCAGCAGUGAAUGGGUACCAGGUGUGAGGAUGUCAAGCCACCACAAGCCAGGAGGGAAGUGGCUGCUAGGGCCAAGACAGCAGGUGGAGAGGGACCAUUAAGAAACAUGAUCCCGCUGCUACCACCACCGGGUUCAGCCUCACCUCUUCACCCCUGGAUGAAGGAGAUGUUUCUUGGCGGCCAAACUCAGGAGACUCACCAGAAAAGACCAUUCACCCGUGCCU